CAGUUAGCAAUAAUGAUAGCAAAUAACACUUUCAUCCAAGCAAUCACUUAUUACAUUAUCCACAAAAGCAUCGGUCACACGAUGACCAUCCUGACAGUAUGACCGAUUGUUUCAGCCUUUGAAAAGAUUAAUAAGCAUUUCAGGUGAGCUAAGCAUUUAUCUUGGUGAUACACGUGGUAAUUGUGACGUGAAAGCAUCGGUGUUUCGCAGUGCUUUUCAACAUCAACGGGUGUUUGAAUAUUUUGAAGAAAGAACAAAAUUUCGGUGCUUAUAAAUAAUGUAGAAAUGAAAAUUGUGCUGAACGUGUGCUAGUUACCUAAAAAUCUUGAAAACCAGUGGACUACAUCACAGAAUUUAAUUAGUCUUUACUGACCAAAGGGUGGACGGUCAAUCGAAUUUAGCACGUCUAUAUCCCGACGCUAACGUCGGAGUUUCCUGUCUAUAGCAGAUUCGUGAUCUCGUCGAGAUUUGGGUCAGGAAGCUAUUACUUCGACGACUUUGAGACAAGGAAUCCAUGGUGGACUUGAACAAAUUGUCUCGGGUUCGAUGUAUUAAUUAAGUGGAUUCAGUCGGAGCUAAAGAAAAAUUACAUAAAGGAACAAACACCAUCAGACAUGUACAGAAUAUGUAUUAUGAUCGGCGAAGAUAAA